AUGGACCCGCGGUGCAUUACUAGUUGGUGAGGUAACGGCUCACCAAGGCCACAAUGCAUAGCCGACCUGAGAGGGUGAUCGGCCACACUGGGACUGAGACACGGCCCAGACUCCUACGGGAGGCAGCAGGAGGGAAUCUUCGGCAAUGGACGAAAGUCUGACCGAACAACGCCGCGUGAGUGAAGAAGGUUUUCGGAUCGUAAAACUCUGUUGUUAGAGAAGAACAAGGACGUGUAGUAACUGAACGUCCCCUGACGGUAUCUAACCAGAAAGCCACGGCUAACUACGUGCCAGCAGCCGCGGUAAUACGUAGGUGGCAAGCGUUGUCCUCGGGGAUUUAUUGGGCGUAAAGCGAGCCGGCAGGCGGUUUCUUUCAAGUCUGAUUGGUGAAAGCCCCCCCGGGCUCCAACCGGGGGAGGGUGCAUUGUGAAACUGGGAAGAGCUUGACUUGAGUGCAGAAGAGGAGAGUGGAAAUUUCCAUGUGGUAGCGGGUUGAAAUUGCGUAGAUAAUUCUAUGGAGGAACUACCAGUGGCGAAAGCGGCUCUCUGGUCUGUAUACUGAUAGACUUGAACGCUGCAGGCUCGAAAAAAGGCGUGGGGAGAGGCCAAACAGGAUUAGGAUACCCUGGUAGUCCCACGCCGUAAACCGGAUGAGUGCUAAGUGUUUGGAGGGUUUCCGAGCCCCUUCAUGCUGCAGCAAACGCAUUAAGUCACUCCGCCUGGGGAGUACGACCGCAAGGUUGAAACUCAAAGGAAUUGACGGGGGCCCGCACAAGCGGUGGAGCAUGUGGUUUAAUUGAAGCAACGCGAAGAACCUUACCAGGUCUUGACAUCCUUUGACCACUCUAGAGAUAGAGCUAUCCCUUCGGGGACAAAGUGACAGCUGCUGCAUGGGUUGUCGUCAGCUCGUGUCGUGAAAGAUUGGGGUAAAUCCCGCCAACGUAGCGCCAACCCUUACUUAGUGCCCUCAAUUGGCCGGCACUCUAACGGAGACGGCCAGGUGAAACAGGAGGAAAGGUGGGAUGACGUCCAAUUCUCCAUCCCUUUAUGACUCGGGCUACCCCACUGGCUCCAAGGUGGGUACCACGAGGAAGUCGCUUCGGAGGUCCAACAAAUCCUCUAAAACUUCUUUCAAUUCGUGAUGCGUGUUGCAAAUUGCACUCCAUGAAGUGGGAAUCGUUAGUAAUGGUGGAUCGCAAUGCCCCGUUGAUAGUUUCCCGGC
rnacentral:rRNA from 1 species